rnacentral:rRNA from 1 species
GGUGAAAAGCACCCCGGAAGGGGAGUGAAAUAGAACCUGAAACCGUGUGCUUACAAGUAGUCAGAGCCCGUUAAUGGGUGAUGGCGUGCCUUUUGUAGAAUGAACCGGCGAGUUACGAUUUGAUGCAAGGUUAAGCAGUAAAUGUGGAGCCGUAGCGAAAGCGAGUCUGAAUAGGGCGUUUAGUAUUUGGUCGUAGACCCGAAACCAGGUGAUCUACCCUUGGUCAGGUUGAAGUUCAGGUAACACUGAAUGGAGGACCGAACCGACUUACGUUGAAAAGUGAGCGGAUGAACUGAGGGUAGCGGAGAAAUUCCAAUCGAACCUGGAGAUAGCUGGUUCUCUCCGAAAUAGCUUUAGGGCUAGCCUCAAGUGAUGAUUAUUGGAGGUAG